rnacentral:rRNA from 1 species
GCACGGGUGAGUAACACGUAUCCAACCUGCCGUCUACUCUUGGCCAGCCUUCUGAAAGGAAGAUUAAUCCAGGAUGGGAUCAUGAGUUCACAUGUCCGCAUGAUUAAAGGUAUUUUCCGGUAGACGAUGGGGAUGCGUUCCAUUAGAUAGUAGGCGGGGUAACGGCCCACCUAGUCAACGAUGGAUAGGGGUUCUGAGAGGAAGGUCCCCCACAUUGGAACUGAGACACGGUCCAAACUCCUACGGGAGGCAGCAGUGAGGAAUAUUGGUCAAUGGGCGAUAGCCUGAACCAGCCAAGUAGCGUGAAGGAUGACUGCCCUAUGGGUUGUAAACUUCUUUUAUAAAGGAAUAAAGUCGGGUAUGCAUACCCGUUUGCAUGUACUUUAUGAAUAAGGAUCGGCUAACUCCGUGCCAGCAGCCGCGGUAAUACGGAGGAUCCGAGCGUUAUCCGGAUUUAUUGGGUUUAAAGGGAGCGUAGAUGGAUGUUUAAGUCAGUUGUGAAAGUUUGCGGCUCAACCGUAAAAUUGCAGUUGAUACUGGAUGUCUUGAGUGCAGUUGAGGCAGGCGGAAUUCGUGGUGUAGCGGUGAAAUGCUUAGAUAUCACGAAGAACUCCGAUUGCGAAGGCAGCCUG